GGAGGGAUCAUUCGUGAAGCAGGCGCAUCGUCGCCCUUCUCUACCCUUCAACCAUGUGGUCUUCUGCCAUUGCCUCGGGGGGGUUGAGGCGGCCUCGGCCGCCUGGGGCCCCUUCGCUGGGCCCCGCCCCCCCGCGUGCCCCUUGAUAAAGUCUUGGAGUGAUAUUUGCGUCUGAUCAGUCCUGUGGACAUUAUGAAAAUAAAACUUUCAACAACGGAUCUCUUGGCUCUCGCAUCGAUGAAGAACGCAGCAAGAUGCGAUACGUAGUGUGAACUGCGUCUAUUAGUGAAUCAUCGAAUCUUUGAACGCACAUUGCGCCGCCCGUAACUGGGUGGCAUGCCUGUCUGAGCGUCGCCAUAAAACCUCACCGUCCCCCCGGUUUCGGGGUGCGUCGGUGGUCAUGGGUCUCUCGCCCCUGGCCCGCAAGGGCGUUGGGGGGCGUGGCCUGAAAGUCAUUGGUCGCUGGCCCCUCCAUGGGCUCCUCGGUGUGCGAGUCUCAUUGACGUCUCGCCGGGGACGAAGGAGGGGGGAGCCGAGACCCUAAACUAUUGAACCCUCGACCUCAGAUCAGGCAGGACUACGGGCUGAACUUAAGCAUAUCAAUAAGCCCAGGAAGAGAAACCAACAGGGAUUCCCACAGUAGCGGCGAGCGAAGCGGGAAGAGCUCAAUUUUGAAAUCUGGCGUGGAUGACCACGUCCGAGUUGUAAGUGCUAGAGACGUCGUCGGCCCUGGCCCCGGUCGGAGUCCCUUGGAAUAGGGCGCCGUGGAGGGUGAAAGCCCCAUGAGCGGCUGGGAGCCCAGGGUCAUGUGUCGCGUCCUCGAAGAGUCGGGUUGUUUGGGAAUGCAGCUCAAAGCGGGUGGUAAAUUUCACCUAAAGCUAAAUAUUGGCGAGAGACCGAUAGCGAACAAGUAGAGUGAUCGAAAGAUGAAAAGUACUUUGGAAAGAGAGUGAAACAGCGCGUGAAAUUGUUGAAAGGGAAGCGCUUGGCUUCAGCCCUUGGCCUCCGGGGUUCUGCUUGGGUUCUCCCUUGCCUACUCCCCGGCGGCUGGGCCAGCGUCGGUUGGGGCUUCCGGACAAAGGCCCGGGGAACGUGGCCGACCUAGGUCGGCGUUAUAUCCCCGGGCGCAAUACGGUCGCCCCGACCGAGGACCGCGGCUUUGCCAAGGACGCUGGCGUAAUGGAGUCAAGUGUCCCGUCUUGAAACACGGACCAAGGAGUCUAACAUCCCUGCGAGUGUUUGGGUGUCAUGCCCGAGCGCGCAAUGAAAGUGAACGGAGGCGGGAUCCGCAAGGUGCACCGUCGACCGGUCCGGAGGCUCUGCCUAAGGAUCUGAGUAAGAGCAUGGCUGUUGGGACCCGAAAGAUGUUGAACUAUGCCUGAAUAGGGUGAAGCCAGAGGAAACUCUGGUGGAGGCUCGUAGCGAUUCUGACGUGCAAAUCGAUCGUCAAAUUUGGGUAUAGGGGCGAAAGACUAAUCGAAAUAUCUAGUAGCUGGUUCCUGC
rnacentral:misc_RNA from 1 species